AUCUUUGCGCAGAGGCAAUAUUGUAGUUUAUGAGGUCAAUCCGAGGCGCGGUCAUUGCUGGUUGAAAACUUUACCCAAUACCCCGCCUGGAUGACUUGUGUUUUAAAAUCAGAUUGUGGUUCUAGUUUUUGUAUUUUAAUUAUAAA